rnacentral:rRNA from 1 species
UACGUAGGGUGCGAGCGUUGUCCGGAAUUAUUGGGCGUAAAGAGCUCGUAGGCGGUCUGUCGCGUCGAUCGUGAAAACUUGGGGCUUAACCCUGAGCUUGCGGUCGAUACGGGCAUGACUGGAGUUCGGCAGGGGAGACUGGAAUUCCUGGUGUAGCGGUGAAAUGCGCAGAUAUCAGGAAGAACACCCGUGGCGAAGGCGGCUCUCUGGGAAGGUACUGACGCUGAGACGCGAAAGCGUGGGGAGCGAACAGG